AUACAAUGCAUUUGACUAAUUA
rnacentral:siRNA from 1 species